rnacentral:misc_RNA from 1 species
AAGGAGUCUAACAUGUAUGCGAGUAUUUGGGUGUCAAACCCGGAUGCGUAAUGAAAGUGAAUGGAGGUGGGAACCGCAAGGUGCAUCAUCGACCGAUCUGGAUUUUCUCAGAUGGAUUUGAGUAUGAGCACGUAUGUUGGGACCCGAAAAAUGGUGAACUAUGCCUGAAUAGGGCGAAGCCAGAGGAAACUCUGGUGGAGGCUCGUAGCGGUUCUGACGUGCAAAUCGAUCGUCAAAUUUGGGUAUAGGGGCGAAAGACUAAUCGAACCAUCUAGUAGCUGGUUCCUGC